CUUGAGAUCCUAUUGUGGAGCCUUUUAACCUGUCUUCAGAUGUUGAAAUUGUUAAAAAACAUGGUCUCUUUAUGGCUGCAACAGCUGUUCGUUAAAAUUCUGCUCAAAUCACUCUUAGAUUUUGUGGCUAUAGUUAGGCAGUAUACAUGUUUACUAAAUAAAUAAAUACAUUUCUUGAAACAAAAGAGAGACAUUUUCUCUCCUUUGAUUUUGCUUUCUCUCAGAGCAAAGGGGCUUUAGGUUCCUUGGGUGCUUUAUUUUAUGCUGAAACUGUAUUGCUCUCACUUUGCUUUGGAAGUGAAAUGCAAUUUGUAAGGAGUUACAAGUAAGGCAAUAUCACUUAGCAAGAAUGCAGCCCAGUAAUUUCCUUCUAUGUUGUGGAAAUUCGUUAUUUCACCAGCUCAUAGUACUUGCUGGAAGUGAGUAUUCCAUGCAUGAUGACAUAAAGAGCAGUUUUUGUCUAACAAACAGCAUGAAAGUCUUUAGAUUCUAAUCUUUGCUGGACUCACAUCACAGAAGCCAGUUCAGCAGUUCAAUAUAUAAGAUUAAGGAAGGUUAAAUCAAUCUUCCCAGACUUGGCAAGCUUCAAAUUUAUUAAACUUCUGUGUUCAUAAUCCCAGGCUAAACUGGGUGGACAUUAUGAGAGCUAGUCUAACAUAUUUAGAAGAUGCCUUGUUGUGGAGGCUGCUCUGAACCAAGCAGAAGAUAACCUUGGCACUGAAAAUUAAUUCAACCCAAUGUACGUCAGAACAGUUGGUUUCUGGCUUUUGCUGGCUUUCCAAAUUACUACCUUGUUUUCCCUCCUUGUUCAUUAUCUCCCCAGAGAACCAUUUCCAUAGUUAGAUACUUUGUUGGUUAAAAAGAGAGUGGUAUUUAAGAAGUAAAAAUGGGCAUGUGAGCACACUGCAGAGCUAGUGCAAACAAGGAGGAGCUGGCUUUCAUCAUCCUUAGCUGAAUGUCAAAGAAAUGUUUUCUUUCUUGUUCCUAUGCAAUCCCAGAAUGUCCUUUAGACACUACCAGGAUUAGAGCUCAUGUAUACACUCUAUGAAGGAAGGUCAAUUAACAAAGUGGUAUUUAAUCCUGAGAAAACAUACAUGGAACCAGCAAUAUCUUCUGGGGAAUAAAAAACGUCAAUGUG